rnacentral:rRNA from 1 species
UACAGAGGGUGCAAGCGUUAAUCGGAAUUACUGGGCGUAAAGCGUGCGCAGGCGGUUAUGUAAGACAGGUGUGAAAUCCCCGGGCUUAACCUGGGAACUGCAUUUGUGACUGCAUAGCUAGAGUACGGUAGAGGGGGGUGGAAUGCCGCGUGUAGCAGUGAAAUGCGUAGAGAUGCGGCGGAACACCGAUGGCGAAGGCAGCCCCCUGGGCUGAGAUUGACGCUCAGGCACGAAAGCGUGGGGAGCAAACAGG